AAUGAACGUUGGCGGCGUGGAUUAGGCAUGCAAGUCGAGCGAGAACCCCGCAAGGGGGGACAGCGGCGAAAGGGACAGUAAUGUGUAGAUUAUCUGCCCUCAGGUCCGGGAUAGCUGCGGGAAACUGCAGGUAAUACCGGAUAACAUCUCCGGAUCAAAGGUGUGAUUCCGCCUGAGGAUGAGUCUGCAUCCUAUUAGCUAGUUGGUGGGGUAAUGGCCUACCAAGGCAUUGAUGGGUAGCAGGUGUGAGAGCACGACCUGCGUCAUUGGGAAUGAGACACUGCCCAGACACCUACGGGUGGCUGCAGUCGAGACUCGUCGGCAAUGGGCGCAAGCCUGAACGAGCGACGCCGCGUGUGGGAUGAAGGCCUUCGGGUUGUAAACCACUGUCAGAGGGGAUGAAAUGCAGGUGGGUUCUCCCAUCUGUUUGACAUAGCCUCAGAGGAAGGACGGGCUAAGUUCGUG
rnacentral:rRNA from 1 species